rnacentral:rRNA from 1 species
UACGUAGGUGGCAAGCGUUGUCCGGAUUUACUGGGUGUAAAGGGAGCGUAGACGGUGAAGCAAGUCUGAAGUGAAAGGCGGGGGCUCAACCCCCGGACUGCUUUGGAAACUGUUUGACUGGAGUGCAGGAGAGGUAAGUGGAAUUCCUAGUGUAGCGGUGAAAUGCGUAGAUAUUAGGAGGAACACCAGUGGCGAAGGCGGCUUACUGGACUGUAACUGACGUUGAGGCUCGAAAGCGUGGGGAGCAAACAGG